CCUACGGGAGGCAGCAGUGGGGAAUAUUGGACAAUGGGCGCAAGCCUGAUCCAGCCAUGCCGCGUGUGUGAAGAAGGCCUUCGGGUUGUAAAGCACUUUUAUCCGGAAAGAAAAGCUUUGGGUUAAUACCCUGAAGUCAUGACGGUACCGGAAGAAUAAGCACCGGCUAACUUCGUGCCAGCAGCCGCGGUAAUACGAAGGGUGCAAGCGUUACUCGGAAUUACUGGGCGUAAAGCGUGCGUAGGUGGUUUGUUAAGUCUGAUGUGAAAGCCCUAGGCUCAACCUGGGAAUUGCAUUGGAUACUGGCAGGCUAGAGUGCGGUAGAGGAUAGUGGAAUUCCCGGUGUAGCAGUGAAAUGCGUAGAGAUCGGGAGGAACAUCUGUGGCGAAGGCGACUAUCUGGGCCAGCACUGACACUGAGGCACGAAAGCGUGGGGAGCAAACAGGAUUAGAUACCCUGGUAGUCCACGCCCUAAACGAUGCGAACUGGAUGUUGGGUGCAACUAGGCACUCAGUAUCGAAGCUAACGCGUUAAGUUCGCCGCCUGGGGAGUACGGUCGCAAGACUGAAACUCAAAUGAAUUGACGGCUUGGAGACGNGCGAGGACGACGACGAGGGAGGAGG
rnacentral:rRNA from 1 species